CUCACGACAAGAAGAGGCCCAAAUGUAUCAAGACGAUGGCAGCAACGUUCAACGAUAGUACACUGCCCCUGUUUAUCCGUUUCCUCCUGUCCCUUUCGUUUUGCAUUUGCAGGGGAACGCGAGAUUGUUCUUGGAGUUGGGAGAUCGUUCCACGUCAAGCUCCAAGGACGGAAGAUGAAUCCGAGCCGUCGACUUCCCUUUUCCUCUUCAAGAAUGGAACAAAAUCUGGAAAAAGGGUGUUUCUCUAGAAUAGGAGAAGAAUUCAAUUUGUUGUCCCUGUUUGAUCGUGUGGUGGAUGAACUCGCCCUAUUUGUUGUCCAUGUUUGCUGCACUACGAAAGGUCAAAACGUUUCUACUGCAGAUUAAAAAAGCAGGAAAUAUAAAAUCUUCAUGAACUGAAUACCCAGAGGUUCAAAAUCAUCCGUAUACAUGAUGUAUACGUCAAAUAUACACUUGCUGUAUAUCAUGAAAAAUAAGGGAAAAGAGGAGCCAAAAGCCCAAGGAUUUCCACAGGUCCAGCAAACUUGGGCCUAAGUUCAUUUUGUGGGCAUUUUAGUAUAAGACAAGUGGGAUGAAAGCCCAAUUUCGUGGAAUUUGGGCAAAUUGGCCCAAGUUCAAAUAUUACUCUCAUCUUCCCUCAUUAUUUAUAUAUUGUUAUUGUUUAACAUUUUUAUUCCAAUUUAAUUAAUUCUCAAACGAUA